CCGCCGCCGCCACCGCCGCCGCCGCCGCCGCAGGCCCCAGACCGGAAGUGAAUGCUCCACUCGGCAACCCCUUCCGGGAGUGUCGCAGCCACCGGCCUCAAGAUGGAGGCCCUAGCAACUAGACCAGCAAACUGGGCAGACCCUUGGCAACCGCCCUGCCGCGGCGCGGCUCGGCCGCGGGCCGGACCUCCCUGGAGCUUGUCACAGCCUCGGAGCUGCCCCGCACAGCGGCUUGGGGGCCCACCGAAUCCUGAGCAUACCCUUUCUCGGUAAAGAAUGCAUACCUGAGGAUGACUGUGACGUUUAAAAGCGACUUUUAUCCUUCGAGUUAGGCUGACCAUUUGACUCAGCAAUUCCUCUUCCAUGAAUUUCUGUUCAAAAAAUAAUCCUGGGUAGCUACAAAUAUGUCACCAUCGUGAUAUUAAGUCCUGCGUUGAUGGUAGUGAAAAAUUGUGACGGCGAAAAUGUCCAACAUUACGAGGUGGCUUUAAAGACUGAACUACUUCAUGUGUUAGGAUACUGUUAAAAAUGAUGCAAACUCAGAAGCUCUGGGAGUUGGUGAUGGACAGAGAAGUCUGGUGUGCUGCAGUCCACGGGGUUGCAAAGAGUCGGACGCAACUGAGUGACUGAACUGAACUGAAGUGUAGAAUUACAAACUACAACAAGUGCGCAGAAGGAAAUGUAUGUUGUGCUGAGAGAGAAACAAAGGAACGUUACAUAGAGUGUGUAGUCGAAGAAGGUUUCUUUGAAAAUGUCAGGCUUCACCUGAGAACGGAGAGAUAAGGGGCAGAGUGUGUUCCUGUUGCCGUGCUCAAUCACGGAUGACUCACUAACACAACUCACUGAAGUAAGCCAAUGCCAUUUCCUACAAGGUAGCGUGUUCUCUAGAUUAAGUGAAUAUUGUUACAUGCCUCAUGACUGACGUUUACAGUUUGACAAUUUGUAUAUAACAUUAAAUAUGCCUUUCCUACCAUAAUGUUUUUCUAUUUCUGGAAAAAUCGGUAACUACGUCAGGAAAUUCUUGCUUCUUCUUAGUGAGCAUAGUAAGAGACAGUGGCUGUUUGAAAUUAAAUGUAAAUGUCUUUUCUCCAUUUGUCUUUCUUCCUUGGGAUUUUUGUUCCUUUAGUUUCUGAGGUUACCAGAGCAUAAAUGUCCUUCAGCCCUCUUUUUCUUAUCUAAGAAGGGUAAUUGGCUAGCCUAAUCCUUGGAAUAUUAUGUACUUGAAAGUCUUUUGUUUUUCUCCCAAG
ensembl:lncRNA